rnacentral:rRNA from 1 species
CGGGGGGAGCAAGCGUUGUUCGGAUUUACUGGGCGUAAAGGGCGCGUAGGCGGCGUGACAAGUCACUUGUGAAAUCUCCGGGCUUAACCCGGAGCGGCCAAGUGAUACUGUCGUGCUAGAGUGCGGAAGGGGCAACUGGAAUUCUCGGUGUAGCGGUGAAAUGCGUAGAUAUCGAGAGGAACACCUGCGGCGAAGGCGGGUUGCUGGGCCGACACUGACGCUGAGGCGCGAAAGCCAGGGGAGCGAACGGGAUUAGAUACCUCGGUAGUCCUGGCCUUAAACGAUGGAUGCUUGGUGUCCGGGGUUAUAAAGUCCCCGGGUGCCGUCGCUAACGCUUUAAGCAUCCCGCCUGGGGAGUACGCACGCAAGUGUG